rnacentral:rRNA from 1 species
UCGAGAGGCUUCGGCAAUGGGGGAAACCCUGACCGAGCGACGCCCCGUGCGGGAUGAAGGCCCUCGGGUUGUAAACCGCUGUCAGGAGGGAAGAAUCCUUCCGGCUUAAUACGCCGGAAGUUGACGGUACCUCCAGAGGAAGCUCCGGCUAACUCCGUGCCAGCAGCCGCGGUAAUACGGAGGGAGCGAACGUUGUUCGGAUUUACUGGGCGUAAAGGGCGCGUAGGCGGUUUUGCAAGUCAGGGGUGAAAUGUCUCGGCUCAACCGAGGACCUGCCUUUGAAACUGCAGAACUUGAGAUCGUGAGAGGAGACUGGAAUUCCUAGUGUAGCGGUGAAAUGCAUAGAUAUUAGGAAGAACACCAGUGGCGAAGGCGAGUCUCUGGCACGAUACUGACGCUGAGGCGCGAAAGCUAGGGGAGCGAACGGGAUUAGAUACCCCCGUAGUCC